CCUCCUUGUCCCCAACCUCCGCUAUUCCUCUCCAGUCCUCUCCUCCCACAACGGCCGCCGGCCCUCAUCAUGCAUUGCGACUCCUUUGCGCGGCAGCGACCUACAUGCCGGUGCGCCGCCCCUCACCACUCCCCUGCGACCCUCCAUCCCGGCGUGCAAACCCUCAUCACCACUCCCCUGCGGCCCUGGAUCCCGGCGCGCCGCCCCUCAACACCGCUCCCCUGCAGCCAACGGUGAAUCCAAGCUUCUAGCAAAAAUAUCGGAAGAUCCUUGCUAUAUUCCAGUGACGUUCUAUCCUAUUAAGCAACAGUCUUCAAGGUGGUGAUUCAGUUCAACACUGCUGACCUCCAUGUCCGGCGCCCCAUGCUCCAACCUUGGACUUGUUCCCAGGGACAUGAAUGGUAGCUUUCCAGUCAGUACUACAAAUUCCUCUGGCCGAAGAAUUGGUGUUAGCUCUUUGGUGACUGAUGGCAAUUCAUCGCUUUCUGGAGGUGCCCAGUUUCAGCAAAGUACGCGCACGAAUGCUGAUUCAUUCAUGUGCCUUCCUGCCUUUCUGAUGUCGUUUUCGUCCAAUAACAUUUCCAGCAGGGGUAAUAAUCGAGCCUCUCUAUAUUAUGCAAAUUGAUAUGCUUUAAACAACAAUAAAGUGCACCAAUUAAUUUAACACAACAUAUAAGCGAUUGUAAUUCAAGUUCAAUAUCACGAACUAUAUAUACAUGGCUUUUACAAUUGUACAUCUUAACUUAGUCUACAUGGCUUGUAGUACGCAUACUGCAGGUGGGGUAUGACGGUAUGUAUAUGGUUUCUUAUGUAAUACCAUGUUGGCUUUGAAACUGAGCAGAAUUAUUUAUUUUCCUUUUUAAUGGUUACUUAUUGAUUUAUAUUUACAGAUUGUUGUCUUUUCCCUUCUGAAAUAAAAGCUGAUCUUCAAGUUCUGAUAGUCAGAUAUGAUUAUUAUGUAUGACUAUAUCAUCAACAAGGUGUUUUUAGUACCAAAUGAUGAAUAUUUCAACCACUAUUUGGCGGUAUGUUAGAUGCUUUCCCUUAGUUCCCAAAAAUAAUAUAGGUACUUCUGUUACAGUUGGGAGCUAUUGUAUUGUUAUCCCAGUAUAGUGGCCAAUACAAAUUAUAUGCUAUAUUCGUAUGCACUCUCAGACCAAAUAAAGCAUAAUUGUAUUAUCUUUUUUACUGCCUUUGUGGUAACAUGGUAUCUCCAUGUAUCCUGUUUAAAAAAUCAUGGGAAAUAUUUUUGUAUUAGAAGUUUACCUUUUUCAACUAACAAGGAUAUUGGUAUUGUGGUUAUCAUUAGUUCAGGACACGGUGCUUCUAUAGAUGUAUUUUUUCGGGUACUAUUUCGCACUAAAAGUCAGGAACAAGUUCUAUUCUGCCUAUUAUAUGUAUGAAAUAUGGAUGGAACAUACGUUUUUAUUUUGCAAAUUCCAUACGAAAAGGGAAAGAACAAACUAAAUACAAGGAUUGACCUGUGAUGUACUACUAUUUUUCAGUACUAUGAGCCUGUACUCAUGAAAUGCACUGCAAGGAAAUACGCACCUACAAGUUGUCCCUAUAAGAUUAAGUGCAGGUAUGUGGCAUGCAAGCAGAGGAGAGGAUGAACUUGACAUUUACUAAUACUACUUCAUAUUUGAUCUCACAAGAUUCAAAAGAUAAAUGGAGGAUUAUAUGGGUGUGUGGCAAGUAUACUGCAAUGACGAUAAUGAUGUUCCUGUUCGUGAUGAUGAUGAUGAUGCUGGAUGCUUUCAGUUUUAGUUAAGUUGUAGGGAUGAUGUUCCUCGGUUAAGUUUUAUUUAAGUUGUAGGGAUGUGAUGGAUGCUUUUAGUUUAAGUUUGCUAUCAAGAAAAUAUUUAGAUUAUACAUCACAUUAGAUGAUGUUCCUGCUGUAAUAAUCACUAUUGUAAUCCAACAAUUUUAUUAAGUAUAUGAUUUCUUC